rnacentral:misc_RNA from 1 species
GAUGAAGAACGCAGCGAAAUGCGAUAAGUAAUGUGAAUUGCAGAAUUCAGUGAAUCAUCGAAUCUUUGAACGCAUCUUGCGCUCCUUGGUAUUCUGAGGAGCAUGCCUGUUUGAGUGUCAUUGCUGCCCUCAAGCACGGCUUGUGUGUUGGGCCUCCGUCCUCCUCCCGGGGGACGGGCCCGAAAGGCAGCGGCGGCACCGCGUCCGGUCCUCGAGCGUAUGGGGCUUCGUCACCCGCUCUUGUAGGCCCGGCCGGCGCUUGCCGACACAUCAAUCUUUUUUCCAGGUUGACCUCGGAUCAGGUAGGGAUACCCGCUGAACUUAAGCAUAUCAAUAAGCGGAGGA